rnacentral:rRNA from 1 species
GAGUGAACGCUGGCGGUAGGCCUAACACAUGCAAGUCGAACGGCAGCACAGUAAGAGCUUGCUCUUACGGGUGGCGAGUGGCGGACGGGUGAGGAAUACAUCGGAAUCUACUUUUUCGUGGGGGAUAACGUAGGGAAACUUACGCUAAUACCGCAUACGACCUACGGGUGAAAGCAGGGGAUCUUCGGACCUUGCGCGAUUGAAUGAGCAGAUGUCGGAUUAGCUAGUUGGCGGGGUAAAGGCCCACCAAGGCGACGAUCCGUAGCUGGUCUGAGAGGAUGAUCCGCCACACUGGAACUGAGACACGGUCCAGACUCCUACGGGAGGCAGCAGUGGGGAAUAUUGGACAAAGGGCGCAAGCCUGAUCCAGCCAUACCGCGUGGGUGAAGAAGGCCUUCGGGUUGUAAAGCCCUUUUGUUGGGAAAGAAAAGCGGCAGGUUAAUACCCCGCUGUUCUGACGGUACCCAAAGAAUAAGCACCGGCUAACUUCGUG